GUGGUCCCUUUGACAGCACAUAGACUAAACUUGGAACGAUACAGAGAAGAUUGGCGUGGCCCCUGUGCAAGGAUGGCAUGCAAAUUCAUGAAGCGUUCCACAUUUAU